rnacentral:rRNA from 1 species
CCUACGGGUGGCAGCAGUGAGGAAUAUUGGUCAAUGGACGGAAGUCUGAACCAGCCAUGCCGCGUGCAGGAUGACGGCUCUCUGAGUUGUAAACAGCUUUUGUACGGGGAUAAUAGUUCUUACGUGUAGGGAUUUUAAUGUAUCGUACGAAUAAGGAUCGGCAAACUCCGUUCCAGCAGCCGCGGUAAUACGGGGGAUUCGAGCGUUGUCCGGAUUUAUUUGGUUUAAAGGGUGGGUAGGCUGUCGGAUAAGUUAGAGGUCAAAUGCCGGGGCUUAACCCCGUGCCUGCCUCUGAUACUGUUAGACUAGAGAGCGGAUGCAGCAGGAGGAAUGAGGAGUGUAGCGGUGAAAUGCU